UGUUUGCUCUGCCAGUUUCUCCCUACUCAUCACUUUUACUUUCUCGAAUAAACUCUGCCAUUGCUUUUUGAUCAUUUCAUUAACUUCUUUGUUCGAGAUAAGAAGCUCCUGGAAUCCAGCUCCAGAAGGAAAGGCGAGUAACCUCAAACCCAGUAAUGUUUAGUUAGUGAACUCCUUUUUCAGAACAAGCUACCUACAACAUUUUGGCAACCCAAGCCAGGAGAGCACAUUCUGGGGCGGCCAAAAACAAGAAAACAAAAGGUCAGGUACUGAAGACGAAGGAAUGCAUGCAGCUUUUUUCCAGUGCAAAACUUUUGGAUGGGCUCUACAACCAGAGGAUCUCUGGCUGCGGCCUGGACAAACGCAGGUCAUCUAAGGAGAAGCCCAGGGACAUCUAAGGACAUAGUUCUUGUUUCAAGUGCAAGAAGACUGGACACAGGACAUGAAAUUGCACCUAGUUUCUGCCUGGGCCCAGUUCUGCAUGUGUCUGUCUCAUGGCACUGAAGGUUUGAAUGUCGCCACGCUCAGAGAGGGGCUAGCCCAGCCGCAACCCUCAUUUCCUGCUCUGAUGACUGAAGAGGCCCAGGGAAACCUGCAGUGCCCCUGUCCGUGUACACACUAUCUCCUCUGAAGAAACCUGGGUAAAUUUACAUGUCAUGGGUUCACGUUUCACUGCUUUUUUUGAUACAGGGGCAGCUCACUCUCUCUUGACUUCCUUCUCUGGGAAACUUUGACAUCUCUCCUCUAGGUCUAUAGCCAUAGUUGGGGUUGAGGGGACCCCUAGUCAGAGAUUCUUUACUCCUCUGAGGUGUCAUUUUGAGGC